rnacentral:rRNA from 1 species
UACGGGGGGGGGCAAGCGUUGUUCGGAUUUACUGGGCGUAAAGGGCGCGUAGGCGGCUUGACAAGUCACUUGUGAAAUCUCCGGGCUUAACUCGGAACGGCCAAGUGAAACUGUCAUGCUAGAGUGCAGAAGGGGCAAUCGGAAUUCUUGGUGUAGCGGUGAAAUGCGUAGAUAUCAAGCGGAACACCUGAGGUGAAGACGGGUUGCUGGGCUGACACUGACGCUGG